AAAUUGAAGAGUUUGAUCAUGGCUCAGAUUGAACGCUGGCGGCAGGCCUAACACAUGCAAGUCGAACGGUAACAGGAAACAGCUUGCUGUUUCGCUGACGAGUGGCGGACGGGUGAGUAAUGUCUGGGAAACUGCCCGAUGGAGGGGGAUAACUACUGGAAACGGUAGCUAAUACCGCAUAACGUCGCAAGACCAAAGAGGGGGACCUUCGGGCCUCUUGCUAUCGGAUGUGCCCAGAUGGGAUUAGCUAGUAGGUGGGGUAACGGCUCACCUAGGCGACGAUCCCUAGCUGGUCUGAGAGGAUGACCAGCCACACUGGAACUGAGACACGGUCCAGACUCCUACGGGAGGCAGCAGUGGGGAAUAUUGCACAAUGGGCGCAAGCCUGAUGCAGCCAUGCCGCGUGUAUGAAGAAGGCCUUCGGGUUGUAAAGUACUUUCAGCGGGGAGGAAAGGAGUAAAGUUAAUACCUUUGCUCAUUGACGUUACCCGCAGAAGAAGCACCGGCUAACUCCGUGCCAGCAGCCGCGGUAAUACGGAGGGUGCAAGCGUUAAUCGGAAUUACUGGGCGUAAAGCGCACGCAGGCGGUUUGUUAAGUCAGAUGUGAAAUCCCCGGGCUCAACCUGGGAACUGCAUCUGAUACUGGCAAGCUUGAGUCUCGUAGAGGGGGGUAGAAUUCCAGGUGUAGCGGUGAAAUGCGUAGAGAUCUGGAGGAAUACCGGUGGCGAAGGCGGCCCC
rnacentral:rRNA from 1 species